UACGAAGGGGGCUAGCGUUGCUCGGAAUUACUGGGCGUAAAGCGCACGUAGGCGGUUUCUUAAGUCAGGGGUGAAAUCCUGGAGCUCAACUCCAGAACUGCCUUUGAUACUGAGAAGCUUGAGUCCGGGAGAGGUGAGUGGAACUGCGAGUGUAGAGGUGAAAUUCGUAGAUAUUCGCAAGAACACCAGUGGCGAAGGCGGCUCACUGGCCCGGUACUGACGCUGAGGUGCGAAAGCGUGGGGAGCAAACAGG
rnacentral:rRNA from 1 species